rnacentral:rRNA from 1 species
CACGCCCUAAACGAUGUCAACUAGUUGUUCGGUGAGGAGACUCAUUGAGUAACGCAGCUAACGCGUGAAGUUGACCGCCUGGGGAGUACGGCCGCAAGGUUAAAACUCAAAGGAAUUGACGGGGACCCGCACAAGCGGUG